rnacentral:rRNA from 1 species
AGCGAACGCUGGCGGCAGGCUUAACACAUGCAAGUCGAGCGGGCGUAGCAAUACGUCAGCGGCAGACGGGUGAGUAACGCGUGGGAACGUACCUUUUGGUUCGGAACAACCCAGGGAAACUUGGGCUAAUACCGGAUAAGCCCUUACGGGGAAAGAUUUAUCGCCGAAAGAUCGGCCCGCGUCUGAUUAGCUAGUUGGUGAGGUAACGGCUCACCAAGGCGACGAUCAGUAGCUGGUCUGAGAGGAUGAUCAGCCACAUUGGGACUGAGACACGGCCCAAACUCCUACGGGAGGCAGCAGUGGGGAAUAUUGGACAAUGGGCGCAAGCCUGAUCCAGCCAUGCCGCGUGAGUGAUGAAGGCCCUAGGGUUGUAAAGCUCUUUUGUGCGGGAAGAUAAUGACGGUACCGCAAGAAUAAG